rnacentral:rRNA from 1 species
AUUGCACGCUGGCGGCAGGCCUAACACAUGCAAGUCGAACGAGUGGCGGACGGGUGAGUAAUGUCUGGGAAACUGCCUGAUGGAGGGGGAUAACUACUGGAAACGGUAGCUAAUACCGCAUACCAUCAGAUGUGCCCAGAUGGGAUUAGCUACUAGGGGGUGUAACGGCUCACCUAGUCGACGAUCCCUAGCUGGUCUGAGAGGAUGACCAGACACACUGGAACUGAGACACGGUCCAGAGUCCUACGGGAGGCAGCAGUGGGGAAUAUUGCACAAGGGGCGCAAGCCUGAUGCAGCAAUGCCGCGUGUGUGAAGAAGGCCUUCGGGUUGUAAGGUACUUUCAGCGGGGAGGCGUUACCCGCAGAAGAAGCACCGGCUAACUCCGUGCCAGCAGCCGCGGUAAUUC